rnacentral:rRNA from 1 species
UAGGGAAUCUUCGGCAAUGGGGGCAACCCUGACCGAGCAACGCCGCGUGAGUGAAGAAGGUUUUCGGAUCGUAAAGCUCUGUUGUAAGUCAAGAACGAGUGUGAGAGUGGAAAGUUCACACUGUGACGGUAGCUUACCAGAAAGGGACGGCUAACUACGUGCCAGCAGCCGCGGUAAUACGUAGGUCCCGAGCGUUGUCCGGAUUUAUUGGGCGUAAAGCGAGCGCAGGCGGUUAGAUAAGUCUGAAGUGAAAGGCAGUGGCUCAACCAUUGUAGGCUUUGGAAACUGUUUAACUUGAGUGCAGAAGGGGAGAGUGGAAUUCCAUGUGUAGCGGUGAAAUGCGUAGAUAUAUGGAGGAACACCGGUGGCGAAAGCGGCUCUCUGGUCUGUAACUGACGCUGAGGCUCGAAAGCGUGGGGAGCGAACAGGAUUAGAUACCCUGGUAGUCCACGCCGUAAACGAUGAGUGCUAGGUGUUAGGUCCUUUCCGGGACUUAGUGCCGCAGCUAACGCAUUAAGCACUCCGCCUGGGGAGUACGACCGCAAGGUUG